UACGGUAGGAGGCAAGCGUUGUCCGGAAUCACUGGGCGUAAAGCGCGUGUAGGUGGAAGAGGAAGUCUGCCUGUGAAAGCGCCUGGCUUAACCGGGACGAGGUCGGUGGAAACUCCUCUUCUGGAGGUCGGUAGAGGGGGUGGAAUUCCGGGUGUAGUGGUGAAAUGCGUAGAGAGUCCGGGAGGAACACCUGUGGCGAAGGCGGCCCCCUGGGCCGCACCUGACGCUGAGACACGAAAGCGUGGGUAGCAAACAGG
rnacentral:rRNA from 1 species